UUGUCCGGGAUGUGUGUGGUGUGUCCAGACCGUAUCUGUGGUAUCCGGGUGGCGUCCGGGGCUCCAUCCUGCUGGGGCAGCUCGGACUCCCCAGAGUAGAGCGCUGCUCGGCUGGGAAGACCUGCCCGUUCAUCUCCUUGCCCCACUGGGCACACGCCGGCUGAACAUGAGCCCAGUUGUGCCCAGACGGGCAAGGAGGCCAAUGGCACGUGGGCUGUACCAGCCACAGUGUGACCAGUGGAACCAGGACAGUGACCACCCACCUGUGGUGAGGCGCCUCUAGUCCUGGGGUCAGUUCUUGGUGCUUCUUUAUAGAAAAGACAUAGCGGGGCAGGAGUAUGUCCAGAAAAGAGAAUAGAACUGGGGAAGGGUCUGGAGCACAAGGAGCAGCUGAGGGAGCUGGGAGGACUCAGCCUGGAGAAAAGGAGGCUCGAGAGGACUUUCUUGCUUUCCACAACCCCCUGGCAGGCAAAUGCAGCCGUGUGAGGGUCAGGCUCUGCUCUCAGGGAACAAAGGACAGGACAAGAGGGACUGGCCUCAAGUUGUUGCAGGGCAAGAGGUUCAGGUUGGACAUCAGUAAGAAUCUCUAUGGAAAGGCUCAUCCAGCCCUGGCGCAGACUGUCCAGAGUAGUGGUAGUCCCCAUCCCUGGAAGAGUUUAAAAGCUGUGUAGAUGUGGCACCUGGGGACAUAGUUUAGUGGUGGCCUUGGCAGUGGUGGAUGAGCAAUUGGUCUCAAUCUUCUGGAUCUUUUCCACUAAUUCCAUGAUUGCAACAGUUAGGUCUGUGCUCGCUUUCAAGGUUUGAUCAGCUGAACACUGCCUAUGAGUCGUUUACAGGACAUCCUUCAAUGUUCUGACUGUGCUUGAGCAGAAGUCAUGCUUUCUGUGGCAGAAAGAUGAGCAAGGCCAGGGAUGAGCAGCAGUACAAGAUGAAUGAUGCCUCAAGACGUCUCUGCCAAAAUACAUAUUUACUUCUCUAUGCCAGGCUUCCUCCACCCCUGAUAGAUCAAGACCGUGAACAUCACUUUGACCAACUUUAAUUAAAAUUGCAACAACCAGGUUUGUUGCUGGACCUGCUUGUGGGUGAUAACUA